CCAGACUCCUACGGGAGGCAGCAGUAAGGGAUAUUGGUCAAUGGGGGAAACCCUGAACCAGCAACGCCGCGUGAGGGAAGACGGUUUUCGGAUUGUAAACCUCUGUCCUCUGUGAAGAUGAUGACGGUAGCAGAGGAGGAAGCUCCGGCUAACUACGUGCCAGCAGCCGCGGUAAUACGUAGGGAGCGAGCGUUGUCCGGAUUUACUGGGUGUAAAGGGUGCGUAGGCGGCUUGGCAAGCCUGAUGUGAAAGCCCGCGGCCCAACCGCGGGACUGCAUUGGGAACUACCGGGCUGGAGUGCCGGAGAGGUAGGCGGAAUUCCUAGUGUAGCGGUGAAAUGCGUAGAUAUUAGGAGGAACACCAGUGGCGAAGGCGGCCUACUGGACGGUGACUGACGCUGAGGCUCGAAAGCGUGGGGAGCAAACAGGAUUAGAUACCCGUGUAGUA
rnacentral:rRNA from 1 species